GGCUGUCUGACAUUUUGGUAUCUUUCAUCUGACCAUCCAUAUCAAAUGUUCCCAUUCAAACAUUACCGAGCAUCAUGGUUUACGAUUAAAAAAACUGGUCCUUAUGUCUACUGGCACUUUGAAUCUUUUAUGCCAUGAUAUUGUAGCAGUAUCAUGAGGAUUCUAUGGAAAAUUGGGAUAGUCUCUGUGAUCAAAGCUAAAAUAAAGGACAAGCAACGUGCCUUGUGGGUUUUGGAAAGGUUACUUCUUAACAGUCUUUUUCCCCUCACCCAGAAACUUUCUAGCAGUAUGACAGUUACUUACGUGAAAAGCAGUACCCAAAUGCUUUAUUUUAAACAGAUUCACAUUAACCAGUAUAAUUUUUUAGAUUCUUUAGCGUUAGUAUAAGUCUCUAAAUCAGCUUCCAGUUGUGUUUCAUCUCCUUCACCUGCAUUUUAUUUGAUGUUUGAAGAAAGGAAAGAGGAAAGCAAAUAUGAUUUGUACUGUUUGUACUAAAUCUUGGGGAUUUGUUGGUAAAUUUAUUUCAGGGUAAAGUAUAAGAAAAACAAAGACUAGUUUCUUAGACUGAAGGUCUAAGUGAUUUAUAAUACAUUUGACUUAUGAUGGCUUGUUCACUCUUUCAAAUGAAUUUUGCUUUGAAAACAAAUGAAGAGCAGCUCUCCUCCUUCCCUCCACUAAGUGUUCAGGUGUGACAUGUUCAGGUGAUUCUGCUGGAUUCCAGCUGGAGCAGUUUGCUACCCUUCUGUUCCUGCGGUUGGUUUGUUCCUUUCUUUUAUCCACCAAAGUGGACGCAAACAACAUGAUCCCAAAGACAUGCCUAGUUAAAUCCAGCUGAUUGGAGACCAGAAAAUUUGUAAAUGGAUGGUUUGAUGUUACUGCAAAUAAAAGAAAGGGCCUGGGAAUUCUUUUGAUUCCAUCUCUACUUUGUUUAAGUCUCAUUUUGUGCCUUAAAUAUCUGCAACGUUUUAUCAUGUCUCAACUCAGUGACUGACAAGCAACACGAUACAGUGCAACACAUCAGGGUUUAUACCCUGAAGUACUGAGGAGCACCUCCCUCAAGCAAUGCCAUGUGGGAACUUGCAGUGUUUUCUGUAUUCUCUGUAUAACCAUAAUCCAGAGCGUGGGAUUUAGAAGGAAGGGAGAAUUUUAAUUUCAUUUGGACAAUGGCCACUAUUUCCAUUCUCUAAAAAUCCAGAAGACGACAGGCUGGAAGUGACAUUGCUGAAUUACACUAGUUAAUUCAGUGUAUAUAGUAGCGAGUACUCCUUACAAACAAACUCAGCCAGUGUUCCCAGUGUGCUCAGUGCUGUCUGUAGCUUUGGUAGGACAGCUUGAGGCUUGUUACUCAAAGUGAUUCCUUAAGUACAAAUUACUCAUUAAGCUAAAAAAAAAAAUAACUGGUUGCCCUCUUAUAAAACUGCAGUGAACUGUGUUUUGACUGACCGGUGUGUCAAGAGCUCAUGGAGUCCCCUUUUUAGCAUCAAAAAACCUUUCCAUAUAUUUUGAAACCCGCCGUUUGCCUCCAUGUGCAUUAGUCUGUUAAUGAUGGUUUAGAUCUCUGCCUCUAACAUAAUGUGACCUUGAGAAAGUUUUUAACUGAGCCUAGAUUUCAUCUAUAAAAAUAGAGAUACAUAGCCAGGUUGUCCUAAGGAUUAGAUCAGAUAAAAUGUAAAGAAGCUGUAAAUGUUAGUAUGUUACCAAUUUUUUAAUUCACCAAAGACAGCAUUUGCUACACAUGUAAGAAUUUUACAACAUUGCAUUUACUCACUUCAAAAACAAAAGUAGGGGGCUUCCCUGGUGUCACAGUGGUUGAGAGUCUGCCUGCUGAUGCGGGGGACGCGGGUUCAUGCCCCAGUCCGGGAAGAUCCCACAUGCCACGGAGCGGCUGGGCCCAUGAGCCAUGGCCGCUAAGCCUGCGCAUCCAAAGCCUGUGCUCCGCAACGGGAGAGGCCACAACAGUGAGAGGCCCGCGUACCGCAAAAAAAAAGUAGGAUUUAAGAUGCUGUCUGAAGGGACUUCCCUGGUGGUCUAGUGAGUAAAGACUGCUCCCAAUGCACGGGCCGGGGGUUUGAUCCCUGGUCAGGGAACUAGCUCCCACAUGCCGCAACUAAGAGUCCGCAUGCCACAAGGAAGAACCCAUGUGCCACAGCUAAGACCCAGUGUAGCCAAAAGAAUAAAUAAAUAUUUAAAAAUAAGUGAAUAAAUGCUGUCUGCAUAUAUACCCUCAUUUGGGAGUAGAUACGCUCUGUCUAAAGAAGUUAUUAAUUAAAUCCAAGAUACAAAUUAAUAAAAAAAAGCAGAAAUUAAUGAACUAAUGACUUGAUUAGUAAGACUAAAACCUUCUUAACUCUAAAAAUAGCUCUCCAGGCCUCUCAGCUUCUGAGAUGGCCCACACUUUGUGGAGUGUGUUUCUUCCAUGGCCGCUGGAGCCUGAGACAGACUGUGUUCUGUCUAUGGAAUGUGCAUCUCUAAAUAAAUCCACUUCUUACCUAUC
rnacentral:lncRNA from 1 species